CCCUGGUUAGCUCAGUUGGUAGUGCGCUCCACUUGUAAUGGAGAGGUCCCGGGUUCGAUACCCGGACCAGGCG
rfam:Ixodes scapularis strain Wikel colony gcontig_1108379722368, whole genome shotgun sequence.